rnacentral:rRNA from 1 species
UGGGGAAUUUUGGACAAUGGGCGAAAGCCUGAUCCAGCAAUGCCGCGUGUGUGAAGAAGGCCUUCGGGUUGUAAAGCACUUUUGUCCGGAAAGAAAUCCUUGGCUCUAAUACAGUCGGGGGAUGACGGUACCGGAAGAAUAAGCACCGGCUAACUACGUGCCAGCAGCCGCGGUAAUACGUAGGGUGCAAGCGUUAAUCGGAAUUACUGGGCGUAAAGCGUGCGCAGGCGGUUUGCUAAGACCGAUGUGAAAUCCCCGGGCUCAACCUGGGAACUGCAUUGGUGACUGGCAGGCUAGAGUAUGGCAGAGGGGGGUAGAAUUCCACGUGUAGCAGUGAAAUGCGUAGAGAUGUGGAGGAAUACCGAUGGCGAAGGCAGCCCCCUGGGCCAAUACUGACGCUCAUGCACGAAAGCGUGGGGAGCAAACAGGAUUAGAUACCCUGGUAGUCCACGCCC